rnacentral:rRNA from 1 species
GCUGGCGGCGUGGAUAAGACAUGCAAGUCGAGCGGGAUUUUUUUCUGUAGCAAUACGGAGAGAAGUCCAGCGGCGAACGGGUGCGUAACACGUGGGCAAUCUGUCUUAAAGUGGGGGAUAGCUCGGCGAAAGCCGAAUUAAUACCGCAUGUGAUCAGGGAAGACAUCUUUCCGAAAUCAAAGGUGGCGCAAGCUACCGCUUUUUGAGGGGCCCGCGGCCUAUCAGCUUGUUGGUGAGGUAACGGCUCACCAAGGCUAUGACGGGUAGCUGGUCUGAGAGGACGACCAGUCACACUGGGACUGAGACACGGCCCAGACACCUACGGGUGGCAGCAGUCGAGAAUUUUUGACAAUGGGGGAAACCCUGAUCGAGCGACGCCGCGUGGAGGAUGAAGGUCUUCGGGUUGUAAACUCCUGUCAUUUGGGAACAAGGUGCACACGUUAACUGCGUGUGCAUUGAUAGUACCAGAAGAGGAAGAGACGGCUAACUCUGUGCCAGCAGCCGCGGUAAUACAGAGGUCUCAAGCGUUGUUCGGAUUCAUUGGGCGUAAAGGGUG